AACGUAGGAGGCAAGCGUUAUCCGGAAUUACUGGGCGUAAAGGGCGUCUAGGCGGAUGAGCAAGCGCGAUGUGAAAAGCUCCUGGCUCAACUGGGGAGAGUGCGUAGCGAACUGCUUGACUAGAGGCCAGGCGAUGGGGGUGGAAUUCCCCGGUGGAGUGGUGAAAUGCGUAGAGAUCGGGAGGAACACCAGUGGCGCAAGCGGCCCCAAGCCCUGAGCCUGACGCUGAAGCGCGACAGCGUGGGGGAGCAAACGGG
rnacentral:rRNA from 1 species